GUACCGCUGAGAUAAACAUUAUUUUAUUUUUAUACAGUGGGUAGAAGAGUGUGAGUGUGUAGAUUCGGAUCAGUGAGUGUGUUGCUUGUUAAUAAAAAUUAUUAUUUUUAAUUUGAAUUAUUUUAAAAAAUCACAAAACUUAGCGCUAUUUUAGCCAAUAGAAACGUAGUAUUUAAAGAUGGGGAAUCCAGUUUGGUUUGUUUUUUGGCUCCUAAUUUUAAUAUUUAUUUCAUGGUGGGUGGCAUCAUUUUGCGCCUUUUGGUAUAUUAUUGUUUAUACAUUAACAUUAUGCUUCCCUGGAUUAGCGGAUCUGGCGAAUUUAUUAUUAAAAGGUGUUCAAUUUGUACAUUAUUGUGCGGAUGGAAUGUUAAACUGUAAAUCAUUGACGUAAAAAAAUCAAUUCAAAUGUAUGUACUUAACAACAAGGCCGUAGCCAAAGGUUUAUUUGAGAAUUAUUUUACAUGGUUAAUAUAACCGAUUUUUGCAUAAACAAAUCUUCAUAUACUAUAAAAAAUAAGGACAACCGAUGUCCGGCGAUUAAAUUUAAACGAUAUUAAAGAUUAUUAGCAUUGUUUUCAAUUUGAAUAUUAAGUAUAAAAACAAGUGUUUAAGUGUAAAACUUGCGUAAAUCAAGCUUUUAAAAAAUAUUACAAUUACUUCACAAACGACAACUCAACGAUCAUAUGAGCUCUAUGUGAAUUAAAAUAUGCAAAUUUGAAUGUAGAUGUUUGUAUAGUUCGUUCAAAAAUAGAUAAGAUACUGGGUCAAAUGAUUCAGCACAUCAUUUAAGUAUUAAGUAAAAUUCUAAGGUGUAAUAAAAGAAGAAAGAAAGUUUCUUAACACUUAAUGAAAUUUUUGGCUCCUUUUUUAUUGACAAUGAAAUCGUUUGAAUCAAUUUCUUCCAUAUAGAGAUUUGAUAAAAAACUCACAAACCAAGAAUUUAUAUUGUUAAAUACCCAAAUGGUCUAACGCCGUCCAGGGCCUAACAAUAUAGUAAGGACACAAUACUUCCUAUGUAGAGCGCCCAUGGCUGAAUUUAAGGCGCUGUCUGGACGGGAUCUUAUCAUCGGUCAUUGUGAUU